UUUCGCUGCAGAAGCAGCAACUCAUUUUCUCUGGGACCCCUCUCUGCACGGAGAGCUCUUCUCUUUCUUUCGCCUAUUAAACUUACAUGGCCGUGGGACAAUGAACCUCAGGUAUUACCCCAGAGAAACAACAUCGCUUCAUUGAGGGGAAUGCAAAAAUGUAGUAAAGGAAAUUGAGAAUGAGAAGCCAAUAAAGUAGGUAAGAAACAAGGUAGAGUGACAUCAUGGAAGCCAAACAAAGCAAGUGUUUCCAGGAUGAAGGCGUGAUCAACUGGGUCAAAUGUAUGGUGACAGAUCAAAUAAGAUGAGGACUAAUCAUUAAUCAUGGAUUUUAGCAACACUGAGUCCCUGUGGACCUUUACAGGAGAAGUUCUGGUGGAGGGCUGAGAGCAAAAGCCUGGUUGAAGUGAGUUUGAAAAGAUGUGAAAUGUCCUUCCAAGUGUUCCUGAAACAAGGAGAUAUUUGAAGUCUCUCCAGCCUGAUAUCCCCAGUGGAAAUAAGUCAAUGUUGGAACAAGAAGUAUGAGCAACCAGAAUUUAAAAAAAUCUUGCUAAGGUUCUGAACAUAGAAGAGGUCUGUUUUCCUAUCAUUCGACACUGAAAUGACGUUUCCAGGAUAAAAUUCUCCAAUUCAUGUCGAGUGUGCUUAUCCAUGUUUUCCCCAGUAGAGUCAAACUCUUGAUGACGGUAUUUAGCAGUUGGUAAAUGCCUAGUGUGCUGAGUCUGUGCAGAUCUGAUACUCUUCACAGUCCCUGACCAAAGCCCCGGAUCCUGAAUCUUACAAAAUGCAAUGGAAUCUUGAAAAAUAGAAAAGACAUGGGGCAAGUAUUCAAAACUUACCCUAAGUGCUUCUGACCCUGAAUAGCUAAGGCUCAAAAUUGGCUUACAGAACAUGCAAUGAUGAUUUUGAUGGUUUUUCGUUCUAGUUUCUAACUAAUUCAGUGUUUGGCUGCCAGUAAGGGCCUUUGGCAAACACCUAUAGGAGAAGUGUCUAAAAUGUAAAGUGAAUCACUGGAAAUGGGAACUCUGUCAAAAUAAGGGAAUUAAGUUCAUUAAAGGUGUGGUAGCUUAAUUUACUGUGCCAGUUCAUACUGAUCAGGGUUGGCACUGAACACUCAGCUAGUGCAAACCCACCCAAACUUGGCAGAAUAAAUGACCCCAACCAAUCCAGCCUCUUGGCUUUCUCUCCAGGUUAAAUGUGCUUAAAUUAGUAAAAAUUGGGUUUGGACUAUGGGCCUUUCUUGUCUUCUAGAUUGGGGCUGUGUUGUAUCAACUCCAUGAGACAAACAGCAAAGACAACUUUGCUCAUGGGGUAGAAUGGUUGACAUCUCCAGGUGAGAAAAAUGGCCUCAAAAGUCCCAGAGUCUUUGGGAACUGCAUCAAACAACCAAGGAAUUUAUGUCCAAACUCUGUAAACACACAUUUCCAAGAUGGCAUUUAGGUAGAUGGCCUCUUGGUAGAAAACUAAGUAGGUCCCUGGAGAGCAAGACGUGAGAGCCAGGUGAGGCUGCUCCUGGGAUCACUAUAACCACAUUGGACAUGAUACAAAGUCAGGAGGUAGUGUGUGGGAUGUGAUAGGGGUCCACUUGCUGACACACAAACCUUAAAACCUAGAUGAGGUUCACGUGGGCAUGGGGUACCAUGUCAAAACACAGUGUGCCAACUACUUCUAUGAGGAGCACGGAUUUGCCUCACCAUAGAAGAGGAGAGCUGUAGGUGUUUCAACUGACACUUUCACAGAUCACUUCAAUAUAUGGAAAUCCUAUUUUGCAUGUGAUUUACACAGUUGAAUUUAUUCAAAAGAGAUUUAUGUUGUAAUUUGCUAAGUACUCUGAAUAGAAAAUUAAAGUGACUGUCCCUGCCCUCAUAGAGCUGAUGUUCUGGUAGAGGAGACAGGCUUUUACAUGAAUAGCUAUAAUGGUAUUUGAAUAAUAGCAAACAACAGGCAAGGGCAGGGUGCUAAACAAAGAAAGGAAUUAAAGAAAUUAAGUAAUGCUUUGUCAAAUGGUGAUGUUGGACCUGCACCAUGAGGGAUAUGAAGAUAGUGUCAUUCCCUGGCCCUCUGCCCUUCAUUAUGUUUUCUAAAAAGGGACCAGAAGAUUUACUUAAAAAGCAGCCAUAACUAUAAAUGCAUAUUCUUCUCUCCUUUUCCUCAGCUCCACAUUUUACUAGCACUGUUGGAUUUCCCUAGGACCCUAGUGAAACAACCAGAAAUUUGGAUAAGAACAUUUAAGAAAAAUAACGUAUCUCUGUUUCAUUACACGUGGAUUAUUUUUUUGAUGUUUCUUUCUGUCAGUCAGAAAUGGACAGGUGAAAAUGUUAUGUAAACCCUCAAUAUCAGUCAUCUUUAUAGUUACACUAGUAUUCCAGCCAUUCUUUUCAUUAAAACAAAUAAAAAAAAAACUUGGGAAGAGACUACCACGUUUAGUUAGAAAACAGUACAGUCAGCUUCUUUUUUUCUUUUUUAAUGUGUUUUUAUGGUUUGCUUGUGUGCUUUUCAUCAAAAAAUUCUUACUGUCAAAUUAAUUGAGAAACUUACAGUAAUUGAUGGCCAUUCUGGGAUGUCUCAACAAUACUGCUGCCCUAAAUAAUAUUUCCUAAUGAUUAUUAAGCCUGAAUAAAUGAGUUUUUAAAGGUUGUCAGUAUAGCCUAUUUCAUAAAUAUUUAUUGAGCACUGUAUUAGCCUGUUUUGCAGAUAAGGGAAUACUGGAGGCUGGGUAAUUUAUAAAUUAAGAAAGGCUUAUUUGGCUCACAGUUAUGCAGGUUGUGCAAGAAGCAUGGUGCUGGCAUGUACUUGGCUUCUGGUGAGGCCUCAGGAAGUUUACAAUCAUGGUAGAAGGUGAAGGGGGAGCAGGCAUGUCACAUGGUGAGAGAGGGAGCAAGAGAGAGAAGGAGGUGCCAGGCUCCUUUAAACAACCAGCUCUCAAAUGAACUACUAGAGCAAGAACUCACUCGUUACCAUGGGUAUGGCACCAAGUCAUUUAUAAAACAUCCAUCGCCAUGACUGAAACACCUCCCACCAGGCUCACCUCCAACAUCGAAGGUUACACUUCAACAUGAGAUUUGCAUCCAAACUAUAUCAAGCAUCUAUAAUGUGCCAUGUGCUAGGCAAUGGGCAUAGCAGAAACAAUUAUGAGCAAG
rnacentral:lncRNA from 1 species